rnacentral:lncRNA from 1 species
ACAAGUUAUCGGGCCCAUGCAAAAUACCAACAAAUCAAAACAAAAGGGGUUAAAAAUAUAAAGAGAAUAUAAUACAUGGGCAUUUCCUUAGAUUCAUGACAGAUUUAUUUACUUUUAGAGUUUUAGGUAUUAUCGAAGGUUUUAGACACGCAAAAAGAAAAAGGAAAAGGAUUCGGUCAUGGAGAGUGGCAACGACGGAGGAACA